rnacentral:lncRNA from 1 species
AAAAAAAAAAAAAAUUUUUUUUAACAACUUUGUUACAUUUUAAUAAGAAAUUCCUAUCAGCCACUGCACCAUACCAAAACCAGUUGGUUUCCCUCCCCAAAUUCAUGAUUUUUAUGUCUGUUACAAAGGAAAUUUUACUGAUAGUAGCACUUUGGGUCCUACUGUUCCUUUUACAGUAAUGCAUCCCAUUCCAGUGCUCAGGCCUCUCUUCAUCAGUUGUGUCCCUUUAACCCAGUCCAUAGUUGGCAUUAGGAUGGAGGUGUUUUUGUUGUUGUUGUUGUUUUAGUACUGGGGAUCAAACUCAGUACCUUGUACUUCCAAGGUAGGCAUGGUGCCCCUGAACUAAAUCCCUGGCCGAGGUGGGUUUUUUGUUUUGUUUUGUUUUUGAGACAGGGUCUCACUGUAGUUCAGGCUGGCCUUGAACUCACUAUGUUGCCUGGGCUGACCUUGAACUCAACAGUGAUCCUCCUGCCUCAGCCCCCUGACUACUGGGAUUACACGUGUGUGCCACCACUCCUGGCUUAAGCUGGAGGUUUGAUGAAUGAAAGGACCUAAAUAAUACAAAUAGUCUCCCAGGCCCUGAUAUCCAUAAAAGGCUUGGGAAUGGAUUAUGUAAUUGCCCUCAAUCUUUUUGUUGUUUCAGAAAAAUAAAAAAGAUGGGCUCAGAUGGAUUCCUGUUUAAAAAUGGUUCCUAGCCAUAUAACUCUUCUGAAUUGAGUGGUAAAAGCUGAAGUAGGAGGAAAGGAAAUUAAACAUCCUUCUAGUAUUCCUUUGCGCUAAGGUCUGACAUAUGAGAUAAUAACCUGUAUUGAAAUGCGAGGACUUCUGUCUGAACUAAGAAGAGGAGAGUUGGGUAGAUUUAUUGUUUUCUUUCAUUAUAUAGGCACUGAAACCAAAUAAUAAACAUGAAAUAGCCACUGCACAAGGCAGAUGCACCUGGACAUUCUUGUUUUCCAUGUGGCAGAAUUCAUUUUUUUUUUUAGGGGAACCAAUGCAACUAACUGUGGGAUCCAGUGGUAUCUUAGUGACAACUUAUGGAUUUAGGUUGCUAUUGAGUUGGGUUCUAGAUAGUUAACUGCCUUGAAAAGGAUGUCUAGUGCCUUAUGUGGCAGGAGCCAGAACCUGCUGGGAAUAAACAAAGUAGAGUCAUGCCAGUGUCACCUUACAGCUUUGGUGGGGCUGUGAGUGUUCACCCAGACUCCCCAAAAGGUGGAGCUAUGGACUCCCCUGCCUCCUGUCAUCUUCCUCUUUCACACUCUCGAUGACUACUUGAAAAUAGUGAACUCAUUUUCUUUGAACUUGCCUACAGCAUAAGCAUUCUAUGAACAACAGACAGCUCAUAAUGUGAAUUUAAGAAACUGUUGGAGACUACAAUUGCCACAGUUUUCCAUGUGUUUGGAAUUGAUGUUGAAAUAACAGGGCUAAGAAAUUACUGGGUAAAUUUUAGCCUGUGGGUAAUGCCUUAGUGUUUAGAUAAAAGAUUUGUCACUUAUAUUUAAAAUACAUGUUCAUAAAUGUUUGUAAGUAAUGAAAUCAUCAGGGAUGGCUCUUUGCCAUGGGUCUCAUUUUCAUCUUUCUGUAAAAUAAUGAUGUCUUACAUAUUUUAAAAUUUUUAUUAUAUAGUUUGUGAGUAACCUCAAUUUUAAUAAAGUUUUAUAAACUA